CUGCGCGGGCCCUUAAAGCCCAUGGACUUACUUCUCCCUCGUCCUCACCGGUGCCACCUGAGCGGUGGGUGGCCCGGAAAUUGGCCCAAGACAAGGGAAAGUAUGAGGUGCUCUCUGAAUAGCGCCAUUUGUCACCGUCACCAGCAAGAUGUCAUUCAACUCCCACCGUGAAUCUCAAGUCCAGGCAUGGUCCUUGGUAUCAGAGGGAGCUUCAAAAGCCCCGCUUCUCGGAUUAUCUGCACGGCAUACAGACUGAUGAAGUGUGGGGAAAGAUUACCAUCUUGGGCAACCAUUCAACCCAACCCUUUCAUUUUCACAGGUUUUGCCCAUCUCCUGCACGCUUGGUGCGACCUUUGGCUACGUGGCUGGGCUAGCUAUUUCACCACUCUGGAUCUACUGGAAUAGAAAGCAACUUACAUACAAGAAUAAUUAAAUGGGAGCCAAAGGACACGAUAUUUCUUUGUGAAGAUUCCACAAAGACUGUGCAGAAAUCUAUGGGUAAUGCCAAGCAGUUCCAUUUACAGCACUGUUGUUUCAUCUAUGUAGACACAAUACGAUGUGAUUGUAACUUUUUAAAACUAUGAAACCCCUGAGAGAUUGUAGCUUCUAUUGAAAUAAAGUAUUUAUAAUACA